rnacentral:rRNA from 1 species
UACGAAGGGGGCUAGCGUUGCUCGGAAUCACUGGGCGUAAAGCGCACGUAGGCGGAUUGCUAAGUCAGGGGUGAAAUCCUGGAGCUCAACUCCAGAACUGCCCUUGAUACUGGCGGUCUCGAGUCCGGGAGAGGUGAGUGGAACUGCGAGUGUAGAGGUGAAAAUUCGUAGAUAUUCGCAAAGAACACCAGUGGCGAAGGCGGCUCACUGGCCCGGUACUGACGCUGAGGUGGCGAAAAGCGUCGGGGAGCAAAACAGGGA